UGACCAACCAGCCUACUAGCUCAUUAUCCUCUAUAAAUAUAUGGCUAGCUUGUAUAUAUACAAUUUUCCAUUUCAAAAGGAAAAUGAGGAUGAAUCUAGCAUCCAAUGUGCAAACACAAGUCCAAGAAAUUUGUACACAAAGAAUUCUAAUUAAAUAUCUCAGAAAAUAGUAAGAUGUACAGGAUAGAAUUAUAGAAAAAAAUCGUGUUUAUCAAAUCCUAUACAAAAAAUCCAUGCAUCUCAGA
rnacentral:lncRNA from 1 species